UCUGUUGCUACCUAUAUAAAAAUUAUUAAUUCAGUAAUAUAUUUAUUAUUACUGAUUUAAAUUAAUGGUGAAAAUGGACAAUAAUAACAGAACGUGCAAUAUUUGCAAUAAAAAAUUUGGUGAAAAGUAUAAUUUACGAGCCCAUAUAAAAAAAUUUCAUCCAGAUAAAUUAGAAGACCUGGCUCCUCUGAAAGCCUAUAAAUGUUCUGCAGUAUGUAAUAGGUGUAAUAAAACUUUCUUAAAAUACUCCAAUCUAAUGCAACAUGUCAGGCAGUUUCAUCCAGAUCAAAUUAAUGAACUUACUAAACCAAAGUCUUAUACUUGUGAUAAAUGUGAUAAACAUUUUUCACAUUUACGGAAUUUUAAUUAUCACCUCACAUUAAAGUGAUACACCUCAAUUUAAGUAAAGAAGAAAAACAGGCACUAGGGGUUUUGAUUGCAUCAAAAGUGUCAUUUGAAAAUAUUUUGGAUCAAGUUAGAGAGUCAGUCAGUGGGACUUUAGAAAGAAGCCACCUUUUAACGAAAAAGGACUUGUUUAACAUUGAAAGAAGUUUGAAUCUAAAUAGUGAAGCACGUAGGCACAGUAAU